CACGUAGGGCGCAAGCGUUGUCCGGAUUUAUUGGGCGUAAAGGGCGCGUAGGCGGUUGGCAAAGUCAGAUGUGAAAUUCCCGGGCUUAACCUGGGGGCUGCAUUUGAUACGUGUUGUCUUGAGUUCGGAAGAGGGUGGUGGAAUUCCCAGUGUAGAGGUGAAAUUCGUAGAUAUUGGGAAGAACACCGGUGGCGAAGGCGGCGAGCUGGUCCGACACUGACGCUGAGGCGCGAAAGCGUGGGGAGCAAACAGG
rnacentral:rRNA from 1 species